GACGAACGCUGGCGGCGUGCCUAAUACAUGCAAGUCGAGCGCAGGAAGCCGUCUGAACCCUUCGGGGGGGCGACGGUGGAAUGAGCGGCGGACGGGUGAGUAACACGUAAAGAACCUGCCCAUAGGUCUGGGAUAACCACGAGAAAUCGGGGCCAAUACCGGAUGUGUCAUCGGACCGCAUGGUCCGCUGAUGAAAGGCGCCACGGCGUCGCCAAUGUAUGGCUUUGCGGUGCAUUAGCUAGUUGGUGGGGUAACGGCCCACCAAGGCGACGAUGCAUAGCCGAACUGAGAGGGUGAUCGGCCACACUGGGACUGAGACACGGCCCAGACUCCUACGGGAGGCAGCAGUAGGGAAUCUUCCACAAUGGACGAAAGUCUGAUGGAGCAACGCCGCGUGAACGAUGAAGGCUUCCGGGUCGUAAAGUUCCGUUGUAAGGGAAGAACAAGUGCCGCAGGCAAUGGCGGCACCUUGACGGUACCUUGCGAGAAAGCCACGGCUAACUACGUGCCAGCAGCCGCCGUAA
rnacentral:rRNA from 1 species